rnacentral:antisense_RNA from 1 species
CGUUAUGGUGGCUGCGUGCGGGACGCCCUCGGGCGUGCCGGGUCGUUCCUAUGCCGGUCUUCCACCCCUCACGCAGCUGCCACCCUA